UACGUAGGGGGCUAGCGUUGUCCGGAAUCAUUGGGCGUAAAGAGCUCGUAGGCGGUUUGUCGCGUCUGCUGUGAAAACUCGGGGCUUAACUCCGGGCCUGCAGUGGGUACGGGCAGACUAGAGUGCGGUAGGGGAGACUGGAAUUCCUGGUGUAGCGGUGAAAUGCGCAGAUAUCAGGAGGAACACCGGUGGCGAAGGCGGGUCUCUGGGCCGUAACUGACGCUGAGGAGCGAAAGCGUGGGGAGCGAACAGG
rnacentral:rRNA from 1 species